UUUGUCAACUUUCAGCAGAAGCAGCCUCAGGGCAUUGAGCACAGACUGAAUGACUCAGUGACGCUUGGAUCAGCUCAGAUCAAAUUCUCAAGCAAACAGAUGGCUGGGGAUAUUCAGUAACAACGGUGAGGAGAGAGAGGAACAAUUCACAUUUCAAGUGACCCUUCCUCAAAACGGUCUGUUCUGUAGGAGCUUUCCCGCAGAAAUCACUGGAUUGAAAGCUUCUGGCAACAAAUGGCCACAAACCGAUCAAAGGUGAAAGUGACGGUGAACCAGACAGAGCAGUCAGUGGCUGCAUAAAGCAGGGCGGCGUGGAUAUUACACACGGGGACAGAGUACCUCAGGAAAUAAAACUGUUCCCGAUAAACAAUGGGAAUGUGUCUCAGGAUCAGGUCGAGGAUAAUGACCAGGAGAUCCGCCGCUGCCAUGGCCCCCAGGCAAGGGCGCCUGGAGGCAUGGUACAUUGGGGAAACCGAGCAAAGGCUACGACAAAGGAUGAAUGGGCACCACACCACAAUCAACAGACAGAAGUGUUGCCUCCCAGUUGGGACACUUCUGCGGUACUGGACAUUCGACCUUGGGUGACCAUCCUCCAAGGCAGACUUCAGGACAGUCAACAGCGAAAAAUAGCCAAACAGGGCUGAUAGCUAAGUUCAGUACCCAUAGGGAGGGCCUCAACUGGGCCCUUUGGUUCAUCAUACUACAGGUGACCACCAUUGCACUAUAUACAUACACAGACACAGUUACACACACACACACACACACACUCCUAUACACACACAUACACACGGACACACAUAUACACAGACAUGCACACAGACACUCAUGCACACCCUUACAGACACACACACUCCCAUACUCACACAUGCAUCCUCUCAGAGACUUAGACCACUCUACACUCAUGCAGGCACAUAUACCCUCUCUCUCACAGACACUCGCAAACCCCCACCCCAGACACAUACACACUUCCACUCACACAUGCACCCCCUCACUGAAUUAAGACACUCUGCAAUCACGACACACACAUGUACACUCUCUCUCACACUUACAACCCCCAAACCAGACAGACGUACACACAGACAGACACAAAGACCCACAUGCGCCCAUACGUUUUGUGGGGUGAAUUUGUACUUGCAGAGUUACAUUGUACUUUGCUCAAAAACAGUAAAACUCUGUUAUCUGGCUUUUUAGGUUAGAAUUGAUCUAAAAUCAUGGCAUAGACAGAGAACACAGGGCGCUAACACCUUCGACAUAUUGUCUAAAUAACCCAAUUGUUACAGUUAACCUGAGAAUGCAACUUAAAAAAAAAGUUUUUUGAUUUACACACGGAAGAAGGUAAACUAUCAUGGUUUUUGAACAGAUGAAAGACUCAACAGACAAUCAAGGUAAUUUUCAAUGUGUAGCUUCAGUUACAUCAUAUCGUAAUUUUUUUUGCUAUAAAUGCUGUGCCUUACAAUUUUGUCCCCCACAAUCACCUGAAGAAGGUGCGGUUCUCUGAAAGCUACUGUGCUUCCAAUUAAACCUGUUGGACUAUAA